rnacentral:lncRNA from 10 species
CGCGUAGGACAAGGCAGGAGGAGGGCGGCCCUUAUCGGUUCCCUAUAGGACUGGCUUCGCUGCCGGGGUCGGAGAUUCCUCGGCGCGGAGCUAGGGGCGGGUCCGGAGGCGGAGGCGACAGCGCCCGGCGGGGUACGCGCGGCUGCGACCCCGUCACUCCCCCGCCGCCUCCGCCCCUAACCCUCGGCCCCGUGCGCGAGCGAGCGAGGGAGCGAACGCAGCGCAACAAAACAAACUAGUGCCGGCUUCCUGUUGUGCAACUCGCUCCUGAGUGAGUCGGGGGCCGAAAGGGUGCUGCGGCUGGGAAGCCCGGGCGCCGGGGACCUGCGCGCGCUGCCCGGCCUGGCCGGAGCCUGUAGCCCGGGGGCGCCACGGCCGGGCUCGCAGUCCCCCCACGCCGGCCCCCCGGUCCCCGCCGAGCCAGUGUCCUCACCCUGUGGUUUCCUUUCGCUUCUCGCCUCCCAAACACCUCCAGCAAGUCGGAGGGCGCGAACGCGGAGCCAGAAACCCUUCCCCAAAGUUUCUCCCGCCAGGUACCUAAUUGAAUCAUCCAUAGGAUGACAAAUCAGCCAGGGCCAAGAUUUCCAGACACUUGAGUGACUUCCCGGUCCCCGAGGUGACUUGUCAGCUCCAGUGAGUAACUUGGAACUGUCGCUCGGGGCAAGGUGUGUGUCUAGGAGAGAGCCGGCGGCUCACUCACGCUUUCCAGAGAGCGACCCGGGCCGACUUCAAAAUACACACAGGGUCAUUUAUAGGGACUGGAGCCGCGCGCAGGACAACGUCUCCGAGACUGAGACAUUUUCCAAACAGUGCUGACAUUUUGUCGGGCCCCAUAAAAAAUGUAAACGCGAGGUGACGAACCCGGCGGGGAGGGUUCGUGUCUGGCUGUGUCUGCGUCCUGGCGGCGUGGGAGGUUAUAGUUCCAGACCUGGCGGCUGCGGAUCGCCGGGCCGGUACCCGCGAGGAGUGUAGGUACCCUCAGCCCGACCACCUCCCGCAAUCAUGGGGACACCGGCUUGGAUGAGACACAGGCGUGGAAAACAGCCUUCGUGAAACUCCACAAACACGUGGAACUUGAAAAGACAACUACAGCCCCGCGUGUGCGCGAGAGACCUCACGUCACCCCAUCAGUUCCCACUUCGCCAAAGUUUCCCUUCAGUGGGGACUCCAGAGUGGUGCGCCCCAUGCCCGUGCGUCCUGUAACGUGCCCUGAUUGUGUACCCCUCUGCCCGCUCUACUUGAAAUGAAAACACAAAAACUGUUCCGAAUUAGCGCAACUUUAAAGCCCCGUUAUCUGUCUUCUACACUGGGCGCUCUUAGGCCACUGACAGAAACAUGGUUUGAACCCUAAUUGUUGCUAUCAGUCUCAGUCAGCGCAGGUCUCUCAGUGACCUGUGACGCCGGGAGUUGAGGUGCGCGUAUCCUUAAACCCGCGCGAACGCCACCGGCUCAGCGUAGAAAACUAUUUGUAAUCCCUAGUUUGCGUCUCUGAGCUUUAACUCCCCCACACUCUCAAGCGCCCGGUUUCUCCUCGUCUCUCGCCUGCGAGCAAAGUUCCUAUGGCAUCCACUUACCAGGAAGAAAAUUCAAAGACUUUAUGCAAUGCUUAGAAUAAGGAGGAGAGCCUGUCUGCGCCCUGCUCCAGUGACCCUCUCCUGUCUGACACCCACUACUAAACCAGGCAGGUGGUAUGUUGGAAGAAGAGUGGACUUUGGAAUCAGAAAACCUGGAAUCCCAACUUCACCGCUAACCGAGAGACCUUGAGCUGGUUCCUAAACCACGGGGAACUUCAGUUCCACUACAUGAGUUAUUGCAAAGGUUGAAUCGGAAUUGUGACACUGGCCAGCACACGUGUGAAACCAGGGGCAUCCCCUAUUGAUAAGGAGCCCAGCCCAAGAGCUUCAAGGGAAAUUGACCCCAGCCCCAGCUCCACUGAUGGGCUCGAUGAUUCAGAGAGGAAUCUCACUCCCUUGGUCAAAGUGAAUGGCUCAUAAAUCUGGGCCUAAGUCAAUCCGUGCAAGACAUUCCCCUGGCCAUAGGGAUUGGUUAAAAAAUGGACAUGUAACCCAGUUUGGGCUAAAUGAGAUGUGAACAGGAAAGUUAUUUGAUAGCUUCUGAGGAAGGUAGCUUCUCUUCUUUCUAGAGAGCCACUGGAAAGGUAGCCUUUUCUCCUCUGUGUUGUGGAGAGAAAAAAAAAGUGAAACUGUCUCCCUCUCAGCCCACACAGAAGGCUCACACUUGGUGAAGGGAAGGGUGGAGAAGAUUACAGAGAAUAGCCCUGAUGGAACCACACCUGAUUUCUACCUGACCUCUUAAUUUUUUCAUUUGUACAAGUCAGUAAAUGCCUUUUAAUUUUUAAACAAAUAAUUACAGCAACUUAUAGAGGUACCUAAGGUAUUAAGUUACCAUCAUGAAUACAAAGAUAAGCAAGACAAACUUCAAGGGGCUCACCACCUAAUAAAUAUUAUACUUUGCUUUUAUGACAUCAUUUUAGUCUUUUUUGUUGUUUUUUGUUUUUGUUUCUAAAUAGGAUCUUGCUUUAUCACCCAAACUGUAAUGCAGUGGUGUGAUCAUAGCUCACUACAGCCCCGACCUCCUGGGCUCAAGUGAUCCUCUUGCCUCAGCCUCCUAAGGAGCUGGGACUACAGUUGGCCUAUUUUUUUUUUCUUCACAUGACAUCAGGAGAUCAUCAUUGCAACAAGCAACUCAGCUUAGAAGCGCUGGGAUAACUCCGAAAGAGACAUGUGAGACAAGAUGUAGAACUUUGUAUUAGAGUACAAUAAAAUUUAUAAUGCAC